GACGUAGGGCGCGAGCGUUGUCCGGAUUUAUUGGGCGUAAAGAGCUCGUAGGCGGUUUGUCGCGUCGGCCGUGAAAUCUCCACGCUUAACGUGGAGCGUGCGGUCGAUACGGGCAGACUAGAGUUCGGCAGGGGAGACUGGAAUUCCUGGUGUAGCGGUGAAAUGCGCAGAUAUCAGGAGGAACACCGGUGGCGAAGGCGGGUCUCUGGGCCGAAACUGACGCUGAGGAGCGAAAGCGUGGGGAGCAAACAGG
rnacentral:rRNA from 1 species